GUCCGUGAACUGGGGGGAACUGUCUCCCCCUCCAGAUCCGGCAGCGGGAUCACCCGCCUAUUUUUGUCCAGAAGGAG
rfam:Desulfuromonas sp. DDH964, complete genome.